rnacentral:rRNA from 1 species
AUGAGUCGUCAUGAUGGUAUCAACAUUCCCGAUGGCAAGUUCUACCUAGGAGAUGCUAGCUAUGCAUGUUGGCCAUGUGUUCUUCCACCCUUCAGGAAAACUAGAUAACAUUUGAACGAGUUAUCUGGUAGGAACUGUCCUAGGACUCCUCAGGAACUGUUUUAUCUCAGACACUUCAGCCGUAGAGUAAUAAUUGAGAGGGCAUUUGGAGAUCUGAAGAAUAUGUUUAUCCUGAAUCAGAAGCCAUUCCACCCUUACCCUACUCAGGUCAAGCUUGUUCUUCAAUGUUGCAUCAUUCACAAUUGGAUCAUGCAAUGGGGAAUUGAUGAACUUGUGCUGGAGGAGGAAGAUGUAACUCUUGAUGAGGUGAUCAGCUCCGGCCAUGGUGUGUAGGCAUUCGACAACGAAGCAUGGAAGAACAAAACGUUGGAGUGGGCUCAUGCAAUAUGGGAUAACAGAGGUCAGACAAGGAUCUAA